rnacentral:rRNA from 1 species
AUUGAACGCUAGCGGGAUGCUUUACACAUGCAAGUCGCACGAGUGGCGGACUGGUGCGUAAUCUCUCGGAACGUGCACAGUCACGGGGGAUAACUACUCGACAGAGUGGCUAAUACCGCAUAAUAUUGGAGCAGCCGAUAUCGGUUUAUAUAGGUGGUGGGGUAAAGGCUCACCAAGGCAACGAUCCGUCGAUGGGUUGAGAGGACGACCAGCCACACUGGGACUGAGACACGGCCCAGACUCCUACGGGAGGCAGGAGAGGGGAAUUUUGGACAAGGGGGGAAACCCUGAUCCAGCCAUCCCGCGUGUAUGAGAAGGCCUUCGGGUUUUAAAGUACUUUUGGCAGAGAAGCGGUAUCUGCAGAAUAAGCACCGGCUAACUACGUGCCAGCAGCCGCGGUAAUAC